GUGGGGAAUCUUGCGCAAUGGGCGAAAGCCUGACGCAGCCAUGCCGCGUGAAUGAUGAAGGUCUUAGGAUUGUAAAAUUCUUUCACCGGGGACGAUAAUGACGGUACCCGGAGAAGAAGCCCCGGCUAACUUCGUGCCAGCAGCCGCGGUAAUACGAAGGGGGCUAGCGUUGCUCGGAAUUACUGGGCGUAAAGGGCGCGUAGGCGGACAGUUUAGUCAGAGGUGAAAGCCCAGGGCUCAACCUUGGAAUUGCCUUUGAUACUGGCUGUCUUGAGUACGGGAGAGGUGAGUGGAACUCCGGGUGUAGAGGUGAAAUUCGUAGAUAUUCGGAAGAACACCAGUGGCGAAGGCGACUCACUGGCCCGUUACUGACGCUGAGGCGCGAAAGCGUGGGGAGCAAACAGGAUUAGAAACCCGGGUAGUCC
rnacentral:rRNA from 1 species